rnacentral:rRNA from 1 species
GGGUCACCGUUUGUUAAGCGCAAAUAUGGAUGACUGUUUUUGCUGACUUCAUUGUUUGGCUUAUAAGAGUUAUCAAAUAUCACUUUGAUUAAAUUAGAGUGCUUAAAGCAAGUGUCUUACUUGAAUAUAAAUGCAUGGAAUGAUGGAAUAUGUUGUUGUUCUAUUUGUUGGUUUUUGAACGAUGAAAUGAUUGAAAGGAACUGUUGGGGGCAUUCAUAUUGUUGUGAGAGAGGUGAAAUUCUUACACCACAGCAAGACGAACUAUUGUGAAAGCAUUUGCCAAGAAUGUUUUCAUUGAUCAAGAACGAAAGUUAGAGGUUUGAAGGCGAUCAGAUACCGCUCUAGUUCUAACCAUAAACUAUGCCAACUAGCAAUUUGCUUAUGUAUGUUUUAUGACUAGGUGAGAGGCCACGGGAAACCAAAGUAGGGUUAUGGGGGAAGUAUGGUUGCAAAGAUGAAACUUAAAGGAAUUGACGGAAGGGCACCCCCCGGAGUGGAGCGCGCGGGUUAAUUUGACUCAACACGGGAAAACUUACCUGGUCUCGACACUAGAAGGAUUGACAGAUUGAUAGCUCUUUCUUGAUUUGGUGGAUGGUGGUGCAUGGCCGUUUUUAGUUGGUGGAGUGAUUUGUCUGGUUAAUUCCGAUAACGAACGAGACUCUAGCCUAUUAAAUAACACCCAGAAUCAUGUCUUCUUCGGUGUUUCUUAAUGGGAUCAAGUG